CUUCUUCCUCUUCAUCUUCAAGAAGUUUCUAAAUUUUUUGAUGAUUAAAUAUAAGUCUUCAUCUUUUUCACCAGAUUUCUCAAUUUUUAUAUUGUCUUCUUGAUUUGAGGACUUGAAUGCUAAUAUUUUCUUUCUCCCAGUACUAUCCCCUUCUUCUCGAUUCAUUAUGAUAUACUUAUGGAUCAUGAAAGAAUCUAAGAGCUCCUCCAAAGAUCAUUGAUUUAGAUUCUUUGCCUCUUAAAUUACUAUUACUUUUGCUUCCUAAGACUAGGCAAAGAUCUAAGAAACCUUCUCACA
rnacentral:lncRNA from 1 species